rnacentral:rRNA from 1 species
AUUGAACGCUGGCGGGAGGACUAACACAUGCAAGUCGAACGAGUGGCGGACGGGUGAGUAAUGUCUGGGAAACUGCCCGGUGGAGGGGGAUAACUACUGGAAACAGUGGCUAAUACCGCAUACUAUUGGAGCGGCCGAGAUGGGAUUAGCUAGUAGGUGGGGUAACGGCUCACCAAGGCAACGAUCCGUAGCUGGUCUGAGAGGAUGACCAGCCACACUGGAACUGAGACACGGCCCAGACUCCUACGGGAGGCAGCAGUGGGGAAUUUUGCACAAUGGGCGCAAGCCUGAUACAGCCAUGCCGCGUGUAUGAUGAAGGCCUUCGGGUUGUAAAGUACUUUCAGCGAAGAGGCGUUACUCGCAGAAGAAGCACCGGCUAACUCCGUGCCAGCAGCCGCGGUAAUUC